UGGUUUGUGAUGUCCUUUAUAGAAUCAUAGAAUUGUCGAGGUUGGAAGGGAUCUUUAAGAUCAUCUAGUCCAACCAUCAGCCUAACUCUGAUAGAAACUAGCACUAAACCAUGUCACUAAGCACUAUGUCAACCCGUCUUUUAAAUUAACUCAGUAAAUAGCAAAUAAGGAGGACACAAUAAUGGGAUGAAAGCUGGGGAAGGGGGAACUGUCAGUGCACUUUAUCAAGCUGCAUUUUAAUAUCAUGCAUGUUUAAAGGUGCAGGAGUAUUUUCAAAAACAACCAAAAUUUUAUCUUUAAAGUACUUACAGGGUCUUAAAGUCAUCUGAUGUGGGUUUUGCUGUUCUGUAGAUCCUAGCUUUGAAGAUAUGAGAAAAAAAAUAUUACUUUCCCAGUAAUUUCAGGGUUUAAUUAGCAUACAUGAAAUAAUCUGCCACUUCCUCUUAGAGAACUUCUGCUUUGCUGUAGCACUUCAGCCUCAGUACAUACCUGAUUUGGUAUUAAAUAGAUAAUACUGAUUGAUUAAAUCUAAUACAGAUUUGAAAUUAGCAUUGUGAAUUAUGUUUUCAUUUUAAAGUAUUUUUUUAUCUUAAUUUUAUGCCUUGCAGUUAGGCGCUCCUGGACAAAGAACUGAUCAGAUGUUGGAAACAAUCCUAGGCUUGGCAUGAAAUGGUACAUGGCACCAGAACUUCCUGAGGACUCGAUUCUGUUUGAUGGCUUUGAUGCCUGUAAACAUAUUGACAUGUGGGCAUUUGUUCUUGUUCUACGGGCAAUAACAAGAGGAACAUUCAGUAAAGGAGUUUAAAGAAAAAGCUGAAGCAACGCUAGGACUUGGUGCUAUUCUGACAGCUUCUGAAGGAUUUGGAAUGUACCAGAAGGUUGGGAUAGUGAUUCAUUUAAGGAAGGACAAAGGAAAGAGGUAAGAAAUUACAUACCAGUCAAUUUUGGUUUGAUUGUUUGAGGGA
rnacentral:lncRNA from 1 species